UACAGAGGUCCCGAGCGUUGUUCGGAUUCACUGGGCGUAAAGGGUGCGUAGGUGGCGUGGUAAGUUUGAUGUGAAAGCUCAGGGCUUAACCCUGAAAUGGCAUUGAAUACUACCAGGGCUGGAGGUUUGGAGGGGGGACUGGAAUUCUUGGUGUAGCAGUGAAAUGCGUAGAUAUCAGGAGGAACACCGGUGGCGAAGGCGGGUCUCUGGGCCGAUACUGACGCUGAGGAGCGAAAGCGUGGGGAGCGAACAGG
rnacentral:rRNA from 1 species